rnacentral:rRNA from 1 species
UACGGAGGGGACUAGCGUUGUUCGGAAUUACUGGGCGUAAAGCGCACGUAGGCGGAUUUGUAAGUCAGGGGUGAAAUCCCGAGGCUCAACCUCGGAACUGCCUUUGAUACUGCAAAUCUCGAGUCCGGAAGAGGUGAGUGGAAUUCCUAGUGUAGAGGUGAAAUUCGUAGAUAUUGGGAAGAACACCAGUGGCGAAGGCGGCUCACUGGUCCGGUACUGACGCUGAGGUGCGAAAGCGUGGGGAGCAAACAGG